CCCGUGGGCGGCGUGCUAAUACAUGCAGUCGAGCGGACAGAUGGGAGCUUGCUCCCUGAUGUUAGCGGCGGACGGGUGAGUAACACGUGGGUAACCUGCCUGUAAGACUGGGAUAACUCCGGGAAACCGGGGCUAAUACCGGAUGGUUGUUUGAACCGCAUGGUUCAAACAUAAAAGGUGGCUUCGGCUACCACUUACAGAUGGACCCGCGGCGCAUUAGCUAGUUGGUGAGGUAACGGCUCACCAAGGCAACGAUGCGUAGCCGACCUGAGAGGGUGAUCGGCCACACUGGGACUGAGACACGGCCCAGACUCCUACGGGAGGCAGCAGUAGGGAAUCUUCCGCAAUGGACGAAAGUCUGACGGAGCAACGCCGCGUGAGUGAUGAAGGUUUUCGGAUCGUAAAGCUCUGUUGUUAGGGAAGAACAAGUACCGUUCGAAUAGGGCGGUACCUUGACGGUACCUAACCAGAAAGCCACGGCUAACUACGUGCCAGCAGCCGCGGUAAUACGUAGGUGGCAAGCGUUGUCCGGAAUUAUUGGGCGUAAAGGGCUCGCAGGCGGUUUCUUAAGUCUGAUGUGAAAGCCCCCGGCUCAACCGGGGAGGGUCAUUGGAAACUGGGGAACUUGAGUGCAGAAGAGGAGAGUGGAAUUCCACGUGUAGCGGUGAAAUGCGUAGAGAUGUGGAGGAACACCAGUGGC
rnacentral:rRNA from 1 species